GGCGAACGCUGGCGGCGUGCCUAAUACAUGCAAGUUGAGCGCUGAAGGUUGGUACUUGUACCGACUGGAUGAGCAGCGCACGGGUGAGUAACGCGUGGGGAAUCUGCCUUUGAGCGGGGGACAACAUUUGGAAACGAAUGCUAAUACCGCAUAAAAACUUUAAACACAAUUUUUAAGGUUGAAAGAUGCAAUUGCAUCACUCAAAGAUGAUCCCGCGUUGUAUUAGCUAGUUGGUGAGGUAAAGGCUCACCAAGGCGAUGAUACAUAGCCGACCUGAGAGGGCGAGCGGCCACAUUGGGACUGAGACACGGCCCAAACUCCUACGGGAGGCAGCAGGAGGGAAUCGUCGGCAAUGGACGAAAGCCUGACCGAGCAACGCCGCGGGAGGGAAGAAGGUCUUCGGAUCGGAAAACUCUGUUGGCAGGGAAGAACGUGGGUGAGAGUGGAAAGCUCAGCAAGUGACGGUAACUACCCAGAAAGCGACGGCUAACUACGUG
rnacentral:rRNA from 1 species